CAGCGAUGCGUUGAGCUAACCGGUACUAAUGAACCGUGAGGCUUAACCUUACAACGCCGAAGGUGUUU
rnacentral:rRNA from 1 species